rnacentral:rRNA from 1 species
UUCCCAUAACGCGAGUGAAGCGGCAAGAGCUCAGAUUUGAAAUCGUGUUUCGGCACGAGUUGUAGAGUGUAGCGGGAGUCUCUGUGGAGCGCGGUGUCCAAGUCCCUUGGAACAGGGUGCCUGAAGGGUGAGAGCCCCGUACGGUGCUGCGCGAAGCUUUUGAGGCCCUGCUGACGAGUCGAGUUGUUUGGGAAUGCAGCUCCAAGCGGGUGGUAAAUUCCAUCUAAGGCUAAAUAUUGGCGAGAGACCGAUAGCGAACAAGUACUGUGAAGGAAAGAUGAAAAGCACUUUGAAAAGAGAGUGAAACAGCACGUGAAAUUGUUGAAAGGGAAGGGUAUUGGGCUCGACAUGGGGGGUGCGCACCGCUGUCUCUUGUAGGCGGCGCUCUGGGCGCCCUCUGGGCCAGCAUCGGUUCCUGCUGCGGGAGAAGGGGCUCCGGAAAGUGGCUCUUCGGAGUGUUAUAGCCGGGGCCAGAUGCCGCGUGUGGGGACCGAGGACUGCGGCUUCUGUCUCGGAUGCUGGCAUAACGGCGCAAUACCGCCGUCUGGAAAACCCGACAAA